rnacentral:rRNA from 1 species
AAGGAAUUUUCGUCAAUGGGGGCAACCCUGAACGAGCAACGCCGCGUGGAGGAUGACGGCCUUCGGGUUGUAAACUCCUUUUGCGGGGGAUGACAUCGACCGUACCCCGCGAAUCAGGCUCGGCUAACUCUGUGCCAGCAGCCGCGGUAAGACAGAGGAGCCAAGCGUUGUCCGGAUUGACUGGGCGUAAAGCGCACGCAGGCGGCUGCGCACGUGGGGUGUGAAAGCGGCAGGCUUAACUUGCCGAGGCCACCUCAUACGGCACGGCUCGAGCCCGUGAGAGGUCCAUGGAAUUGCCGGUGUAGUGGUGAAAUGCGUAGAGAUCGGCAGGAACACCCAGGGGGAAACCAGUGGACUGGCACGGUGCUGACGCUCAGGUGCGAAAGCGUGGGGAGCGAAC